AAGUCCAAUUCAAAACAGAAACGUGUGAAAAAGACACAAGAAUGCGAAAUCAGAAAUGCUGUCAAAAGGCAUUUCGCUUAAGCGAACGAUUAUUCGCUUAAGCGAACUGCUUACAGUAGCUGUUCGCUUACAGCUCGCUUCCGGUUCGCUUAAGCGAACAGUCAUCAUUUCUGCAUAAUUUUUCACGGGUUUGAACCAUUUUUCACCCCAAAACCCAAAUUUUGAUCCCUCAAUGCCCAAAUGUGUUUCCAGAACAUGUUUAUAGGUUAAUAUGACUAAAAAGACUUACAAAGACACAAUCAAACUUGAAAACACUUGACACUUACGCUAACUCUUCAUUUUCACCAAAACACCAACACAAUUCAAAUUCUCAUCAUCAAUCCAUGAAUAUGCAUACCCAAGCAAUUAUUCAUCAAUCAUAAUAUCAAAUAACAUUCAUAACAUCAUUUGAACAAGAAUCACAACUCAAAUUAACAACAACUUAGGAGAAAUUCACCACUUUAGCACAAUCUUCAUAACUUAUCACUUUUGCAUAUAUGAACAUGUAAUUUCACCAACAAUUAUACAACUAACAUCAAUUCAUGCAUACAAACAUAACAUCACAGCAAGAGCACGAAUUUAGCAUGAAUUGUUCAUCAACCCAUUUUCAUACAACAUGAGAAAAUGCAAAAUUACACAUGAUUAUGAUAAUAACUAACCCCCUUACCUUUGAAGUUGAUUAUCCUUAAUCCUAGUUUCAAUUCAGCUCCUAGGUCACCCACUUGAUUCCUAAAGCUUCCCUUCAACCCUCUUGUUCUUCUCUUCUUCUCUUCUCUCUCUACCUCUCCUUCUCUCUAUGAAAAUUGUUUUGUGAAAAUGAAUACAAUUCUAAGACAACCCUAGUGUUAUCCCCCUUAAUGGGCUUAACUCAAAAUGCUAAUGGGCCUAACCUAUUCUAACACAAUUCAAAAGUUUCUAUACACUCGACGGUAAUUACUAACGACGGUAAAAUAUAACCAACGGUUACUAACGGUAAAAACUAAUCACUCCACUAGUAACUUAGUAAAAUAAGGGUUCUCACUAAUUAUAAAAUAAUUCUCACCAAAAUUACCAUUUUACCCUUACCCGUCAAAUGACCAAAAUACCCUUCUAAUACGGUAAUCCAUUUAAAUGCACCCAAUGACAAUUAAAUACACACAAGCACAAUUAAUCACAUACAAUCACACAAUAAAAGUAAUUAAAUAAAACUAGCUAAAAAUCGGGCUGUUACACGUGGCACCUCACUUAUGGGGUGUGGGUGCCACGUCAGCGAAGACUAAGUCAAAAGUGACCUUCGGGGCCAAAACUGCCAAAAUGCAAUACAUAGGGGGCUGUUUUGUAUUUUAAUUGAUUAGGGGGCCAAAAUCGCAACUUUUGAAAAGAUAGGGGCCAAAAGUGCAAUUAAGUCUAAAAUAAAUUAUUACUUAUAUAAGAAUUAAAAAAUAUCAUUAAGGGAGACCUAGGGUCGGCUCUUGGGAGGUGCAAACAACUUUAUUGAGCUGAGCCUCCAAAAAUUUUGGCCCAAUUUUUUUUUUAAUAAAUAAUGCACUUAAAUUAUUAAUAUAUGUAUAUAGAAUAGCAUUAAAAAAUUUGCAAUGCUGAAGGCAUGGCCCUAUUGGUAAAACUCGAAGAUGUUGCACUUGGGGACCUCGGUUCAACCCGGAGAGGGAAGAUAAUAGGGCCUCUUUUGCGCAUAUUAUUUUUAUGGAUUUGAGGUUUAUAUAUCAUAAAUACUCCAUUUUUCUUUUUCAAUUCAACUCCUCUACAUAUUUGCAAAUAAAAAUACAAUAUAACUUUUUUUUAUUGUAUUUUUAGAGCACUUGUAAUUUUUGGCACAUACUUGUCGUAUAAAAUAGCAAAGCUCUAAC
rnacentral:lncRNA from 1 species